AGUUGUUCUUGAUGUGCAAAGUGACCAACGACUUUGGUGGAUCAAGUUGACAUGGAUUAAAGUGUCCUCAGAAGAUUGGAAGGACUUGAAGAUGUUUGGAAAAUGAUGACGUCUCAAGUUGGUUUCUUAAGUUUUAAGCUCAUAGGAUUAAUGCAAAAAGGUAGGGAGAAAUUGCUAUUAAAUAUCAUCAUUUAAUUCAUAUUUUUUUUCCCAAGAGUUUAGAAGUGUUUUAGGUCAUGAUUGUAAUAUUUUAGAAGGCCAAAAUGAAUUUUAUAAGGUUUUUCAAAAAUUCAUACCUUUGCAGCCAGAAGCAAAAAUAACAAGCUAAUUCUGAAAUUAGCAUGCUAAUUUAGCUUCGGGUUUCAGGUGCACUUUUGCACUAAUAGUCAUAAGCAAAAUUAGCAUGCUAAUUUUAGUUCUGUCCAAAAUUGAAUCAGGCAGAAUCAAAAGUAACAAAUUAAUUUUAAAAACUUGAUGGCUUGCCAAUUUUCGAGAGAAACACAAAAAGUAAUGGCUAGUUAUCCAUCAAAUCAUGACCGUUUGAUAUGCUUUUACUUCUAACGGCUAUAUUUUAAAUCAUCGUAUAUAAAUCAUUAUUUGACCCAAUUUUAGAUCAUGAAAGCCGUCAAAAAA
rnacentral:misc_RNA from 1 species